rnacentral:rRNA from 1 species
AUGGAACUAUCUAAAAGCAUCUCUAGAAGAGACAAGACCAUCCAGUUAAUAAGGCAAGAUUCUAGGCCGGUAACCAUGAUGAAUAGGAUAUCAUGCAGAAGUGACGACAUAGAUAAUUUAGAAGAGGUUAUAGACAUGGAACAUGAAUUAGAAAGAUAUCAGAGAGACACGAUAAAAAUAAGACCGCAACAGGUAUAUCACAUGGGCAUAUUUGAAAGUAAAAGCGGAUUAUACAGAAUAUCUAGAGAAGUAGAAUUAAGUGUGUUAACACAUCUGGUUGAUUUAAGAAUUGUCAGCAGAAAUAUUGAGAAUGAACUUAAAUAUUCAUGUUACAAAUAUAUUCACCAAGAUGACGAAAGUCUACAUAAUUUAGAAAAUGCGAUGGAAGCCAUGGAAGUAGAUUUAGGUGGUCAUAAAAGAAGAAGAGGAUAUGGCGAGUCUUCUGUAAAAAGAGAAGGAGAAAGAGAGAGACCUACUCGAUCUGCUGGAAAAUGGCCUCCUGAAAAAGAUGAUUAUCAACCUACAUAUAUUCCUGGACAAUAUACAUUUAUGGGUUCUAAAAGAAGAGGUUUUGAAAAAGUAGUGCAGUUCCAAAACUCUAGGAAUGACGGUGCAAUUCUGAAUUUAGCAGCCCAUGACCCUGUAGAUAGGCCGAAUAUAAUUAGUGUUUGGAAAGGAUUAAUAGUCCAAAAAUAUAUACAAAAUCAAUAUAAUAUAGGGAAUAAGGUGGAAGAUAUGAUAACAUAUCUUGAAACAUUUUUGGGAGAAUCAGUAAAAAUAUUAUGGGAACAAUGGGUAGAGACAUAUCCAGACCAAUACGAAGAACUAAAAAGAGCUGGAAGUAAUCCUAAUAACUUUGCUAAUGUCAUAUCAAAUAUGGUCAUAGCAGAAGAUCCAGAAUUGGGUCAUACCACAUUGCAAAAUGAAAGGUUGAGAGAAAUAGAAAAAUUAACUUUAACAAGUUGGAAAGGUAUAAAGGAAUUUUCUCAACAUUAUUUAUACAAUGCUACCACAGCUAAGCAAGGCUACAAUAAAGGUGUGGUUGAAAGGUAUUUUAAUAAGUUACCAGAUCCAUUAGGAUCAAUAAUAUUUGAAGAAUAUAAGAAAGAUACUGCGGGCAUAGACAUAAAUAUAUCUCAAGCUAUAACUUUCGUGUUUAAACAUCUUAGAAAGGUAUGUACAAGUAUACAGGACCAGAGGUCUAUGAAGAAAUUCAAUUAUAAUUUCUGCAAUAAAAUCAUCCAAAUACCACUAACAUAUGGCGAAGAAAGACACAAGAGUAAGAAAUAUUAUAAAACACAAAGAGAUAAUAGAAAUUUUAGAACAAAGAAAAGAUAUUUCUUACGAAGAUCAGAUAAUAAAGCCCCAUUCUUGCAUAAAAGAAAUGUUAGAAGAUAUAAUCCUAGAAAAUCAUAUAAUAAAACAUGUAGAUGUUUCAUAUGCAAUUCACCUGAUCAUUUAAGUAAUACUUUCCCUAAUAAAGAUCAGAAAAGGUACUCUAGUAAAUAUGAAGAGCAAGAGAGAGUAUUAAUUAUAGAUAGUGUUAAUGAGAAUAUACUAGUAUGUGAUGAUGAAAUAAAAGAUGACGAGUCAAUAUACUCCAUCAUAGAAACAAAUGAAAUAGAAAAUGAAGAGCUAGAAGAAGAAUCUAGUGAAGAUGAAAUAGAUUUAAUAGAUGAUCUAUCAGGAUUAAAAGUAGAGAUGAUGAACCAGGUAGAUUGUGAACAUGAUUGGAUUAGGGGAAAAGGAGAUUAUAAUAUAAAAUGUGCCUUUUGCAUAUAUUACCCCAGCCAAGAGAAUAGGUAUACAUGUAGUUUAUGCUUAAUACAAGCUUGUAACUCAUGCCUAAAAUCUACGAAUCAAAGGUGGAGACAAGAAAUAUAAUAUGAACCUGAAGAUAGAAUAUUAUCUAGCAGAGUUAGAAAUCUAAAUAGACUAAAUAAGUUAGAGGCAGAACUAGAGGAUCUAAAAUCUAACUUAGAAAACAAAGCAAAUACAGAGGAAGAGAACAUUGUAGUUGAAGGCACUGAAAUGAAAGAGCAAAUGAUAACAGUAAGAGAUAAAAAUGGAGAUAGAUUAAUUCAAUUAAGAGAUGCCAUAACCAACUUUGGAAAUAAAUAUAUAGUGUGGUUGCCAUUUAAAGAAGUUCUAGGAAUAAGGAUUCCGGUUAGAAUAGUAUUAAAACCAAAUAUUUCCUAUAAGUUAGCCUUAUUAGAUACAGGGUGCACAAAAAAUAUCAUUCAUGACAAGUACUUCGUUAAGUGUCCUGAAAUAGUAAAAACUAUAGAUGAUAAUAAAGCUGAGGUAUCUACAGAUAUGUCAGGUAUAAAGAAAAUCCAUAACCAGUUAGCAUAUAACAUAGAAACAUAUAUUAAUGGUACAAAAUAUAUAAUAGACAAAAUCACACUUAGAGAUUUAUCAGUAAUAAAUGAUGACAUGAUAUUAGGAUUAAGAUUUUUACAACAUUCUCUCCAAACCACUAUUAUACAUGAAGAAGGUGUUAUAUUUGUCCCGUAUCAAGAUAAUGUCCCAUACAUAUCUGAAGUACGAAAACAAAGAAAGGUUGUACAACUAGCUGAAAUAUCCAACACAAAAGAUGAAUAUGAUACUACAACAGAAUCCCCUAAAACCUGCAAUGAAGAAGAUCUUAGUGAAGCUAUAGAAGAAUAUCAUAUAGAAAAUACUUCCACAGAGUGCAUAGGACUACAAUCAUUUGCACCAAAUUGGUAUAGAGAUAUAAAGUCCAAAAAGGAUAUAGACAAGAUUGUGCAAAGGUUAGAAGAUAUACAAAUUAUAGGAGAAAUACCAAUGAAACAUUGGGACAAGAACUCCAUAAUUUGUAAGAUAAACAUCAUAAACCCAGAUUAUAUAAUCAAAUCAGGCCCAAUAGAAGCUACACCAAAAGAUAUAGAGGAAUUUAAGAUGCAUAUUGAAGAAUUGUUAAAAUUAAGAGCAAUCAGAGAGAGCAAAAGUCCUCACCGUUCAGCUGCAUUUAUAGUUAGAAAUCAUGCUGAAGAAGCUAGGGGUAAGUCUAGGAUGGUAAUUAAUUUUAAAAGACUUUAA